rfam:Gorilla gorilla gorilla genomic chromosome, chr1, whole genome shotgun sequence
GCUGGUUGUGGUGGUGUGCACCUGUAGUCCCAACUACUUGGGAAGCUGAGACAAGAGGAUCGCUUGAGCCCAGGAGUUGGAGGGUGCAGUGAGCUAGGAUUGCACCACUGCACUCCAGCCUAGGCAAUAGAGCGAGACCCUGUCUCCA